CCUACGGGCGGCUGCAGUGGGGAAUAUUGGACAAUGGGGGCAACCCUGAUCCAGCCAUGCCGCGUGUGUGAAGAAGGCCCUCGGGUUGUAAAGCACUUUCAGUGAGGAAGAACGCCUGGUGGUUAAUACCCAUCAGGAAAGACAUCACUCACAGAAGAAGCACCGGCUAACUCCGUGCCAGCAGCCGCGGUAAUACGGAGGGUGCGAGCGUUAAUCGGAAUUACUGGGCGUAAAGCGCGCGUAGGUGGCUUGAUAAGCCGGUUGUGAAAGCCCCGGGCUCAACCUGGGAACGGCAUCCGGAACUGUCAAGCUAGAGUGCAGGAGAGGAAGGUAGAAUUCCCGGUGUAGCGGUGAAAUGCGUAGAGAUCGGGAGGAAUACCAGUGGCGAAGGCGGCCUUCUGGACUGACACUGACACUGAGGUGCGAAAGCGUGGGUAGCAAACAGGAUUAGAUACCCUUGGUC
rnacentral:rRNA from 1 species